GCUUCUUAAAUCCGAGGAGAUAUUGGAGGGGGUGGCGAGACUUCGGAUUUCGAAUAAUAUUGAAUUUGAAGAGCAGAAUUUUAUUGCAACGAUGAAUGAAGCAAGAGAGAGGCGAGCGAAGUUGAAUGCGGGUGCCCUGACUGGCUGACUCUUCCCGUGGGGAUUCGAGCUGAAAAGGCCCUCGAUGCAAUUUAUGUAUGUUGCUUCGGGAGCGAUCCGAUAGAAGACGAAGACAAGAGCUUGCUAGAUAUUAUGCCAAUAGCAGUUUUCCCAACCGUUGAGCAAAAAGAUCAUCAAUGACAAGGCAAUCAAAGUAGCAGAAGGUGGUGAUGAUGCAGACAUUGUUCCAGAACCAAAGUCAUUAUCAAAGGAAGCUGUACAAAUGCAAA